UACGGGGGGAGCAAGCGUUGUUCGGAUUUACUGGGCGUAAAGGGGCGCAAUAGGCGGCCUUCUAAGUUCAGACGUGAAAUCCCUCGGCUCAACCGGGGAACUGCGUCUGAGACUGGAAGGCUUGAAUCCGGGAGAGGGGAUGUGGAAUUCCAGGGUGUAGCGGUGAAAUGACGUAGAUAUCUGGAGGAACACCGGUGGCGAAGGCGGCAUCCUGGACCGGUAUUGGACGCUGAGGCGCGAAAGCCAGGGGAGCAAACGGG
rnacentral:rRNA from 1 species